rnacentral:rRNA from 1 species
GACGAACGCUGGCGGCGUGCUUAACACAUGCAAGUCGAACGGAAAGGCCCCUUUGGGGGUCCUCGAGGGGCGAACGGUGGCGUAACACGUGGGUAACCUUCCCUUUACUUUUUGUUAACGUCGGGAAACUGGGGCUAAUUCCGCUAAGGAAUCCUUCCUCCUUGGGGGGGGUUGGAAAGCUUUUGCGGUUUUGGGUGGAUUCGCGGGUUAUUAGCUGGUUGGUGGGGUAGUGGGUUAACAAGGCUUUGAGGGGAAGCCGGACUGAGAGGGUGAGCGGCCGCACUGGGACUUAGAGGAGGCCCAGACUCCGACGGGAGGCAGAAGGGGGGAAGAUUGCACAAGGGGCGGCAGCCGGAUGCAGCAAGGCCGCGGGUGGGAUGACGGCCUUCGGGUUGAAAACCGCUUUCAGCAGGGGCGAAGCUUGUGGUGACGGUACCUGAAGAAGAAGCACCGGCUAACUACGUG